AUGGCAGAGAACAAGAUUACGCCCAUUAAGGUUGCAAGAAAUAGCCCGGGGAUUUCAAAUCUCCUGUUUGCUGACGACAGUUUAAUUUUCUUUAAGGCCAUCCCGGAGCAAGCGAAAGCUAUCAAGAGAGUUCUUGCCUCUUUCCAAAAGUGUACAGGGAAGCUUCUAAGUGCUAGCAAGUGCUCGAUUCUAUUUAGUGAAGCAUGCCCAACCCAAACAAGAGAGGACAUAAAAACCAUUCUCAGAGUGCAAUCAGAAACUUUUGAAAGUAAGUACCUGGGUCUGCCCACCCCGGAAGGAAGAAUGAAGGAAGAACAAUUCCAACCGAUCAUGGAUAGAUUUCGGAAAAGAUGCAGUGAUUGGAGCGAGAAAUUUAUGUCUUAUGCAGCCAAGGAGGUUCAUGUUAAGUCGGUUGUCCAGGCCCUUCCAACAUUCACCAUGAGUGUUUUUAUGCUCUCAAAAGGCUUCUGUGAAAAAUAUGAAAGAAUGAUCAGAAAGUUUUGGUGGGGAGAGGAUGAG
rnacentral:rRNA from 1 species